ensembl:snRNA U6 U6 spliceosomal RNA
GUGCUCACUUCGCCAGCACAUACACUAAAAUUGGAACAAUAUAGAGAAGAUUAGCCUGGCCCCUG